rnacentral:rRNA from 1 species
AUACGGAGGGUGCGAGCGUUAAUCGGAAUUACUGGGCGUAAAGCGUACGUAGGCGGUUUGCUAAGUCAGAUGUGAAAGCCCCGGGCUUAACCUGGGAACUGCAUUUGAUACUGGCAGACUAGAGUAUGAUAGAGGGGGGUAGAAUUCCUGGUGUAGCGGUGAAAUGCGUAGAUAUCAGGAGGAAUACCAGUGGCGAAGGCGGCCCCCUGGAUCAAUACUGACGCUGAGGUACGAAAGCGUGGGGAGCGAACAGAAUUAGAAACCCUAGUAGUCC